UAUCUUUAUUUGUUAUCUUUUCUACCUGCCGACCGACUUAUUGCUGAGAUGCUCUAAUUUAUGAUAAUACUAAAAUGGAUGCAGAUAAAUACAGUUGGCCCAGUCAGGUAAUCUAUUGCUGUUUGUUCACACUGUCAUAUUAUUGUGAAGUCAUUGUAGCAGUCAAUUUGAUGCAUUGACCACAAAAACAUUUGACAGGAGAGAACGCUGUUUUUUUUCACACUCUGUAGAAAAACGCCCUCCAGUGGACAAAGACAACAUCAGAGUCGGAGACACCAACAGAGCUAGCCAGCAGCACGGCCGGCCCCGCUUCCAGCAGCAGCACCUCUGCAGCGGGCACAGGGGUGGCCCCGGUCGGAACCACUGAGGCCACUGAGCAGGAAAGCUGCGACUCCACUGAGACCACCGCUGCCAGCGGGGACAAUGACGCCUCGGUGGAUGAGAGCUCGUCCAGUGCCUCCUGCUCCACAGAACUGCCGGCUCCCAGCAACCAGCCCCAGACCCGCCUCAGCAGGGCGGCAGGACAGCAAGGACGCACAGAAGCACAGCAGACCCAACAUGCUCAACACACCCAGACCAGACUGAGCCGCUCAAGACAGGUCAGCACCCUGUGGAAGCCACUGGCUGCUCCAUGUUUACAAUGUGUUCAACAAUAAAGGAUUCGAGAGCACCUCCACCGUGUCAUUCGGUGCACUGUUUAAGUCAUCAGGCAUGUCAUACCAUGUGUUUUGACUAUCUGUAGAGGGACAGGACAACAGUGCUGCUUGAUAUACUGACUUCAGAACGGUCUGCUGUGUCAACCUUCCCUCCCACUUUUUGUUUUGCUCCAGUCAGGGAGACAGAGGAAGAAAGCAGUCAUGAUGCCUCGUGUUGUCCUCACCCCUCUUAAAGUAAAUGGAGAGCAUGUCCCCUCAGGUAAGAACAACAACAUUACCAACACCCCAGUCAUGAAGGCAAGAAUUCAGAAUGCUGAUCGGCCUGACAGCUCAGACCUGCACAUCUAACUGAAAUAUAAAGAGUCUGUCUGUCCUUCCAAGUUUCUCGACAACCCUUCAUCCGAUCGACUUCUCACACGGCUAGUGUAUUGCUGAAGACCCAAGGAAGUGCCGUGUCUAGUCUGAAGUUGUUUUGGAUAAACGGUUCUCGAGAAAGCGGCAAGAAUCAAUACCGGAGGCCGAGCAGUUGACCAAACAGGCACUGCACUAGUUAUCCUACUUAAUAAACACAACCUGCCGGAAGAAUACAUAAUAGAUGAAAAGCAUACUUUUAAAACGACACAAAGGGUUUUAUUGAAUCCAUUCACCAACUAUCUGAAGGCAAGAUAUCCUGUAAAAAUGCUGCAGAUGGGCCAGGAAAAAGGUAUUUGGUGCUCAGCUGCAUGGACCUGCAGAUGGCUUUGGACUAGUUGAACGUGU
rnacentral:lncRNA from 1 species